rnacentral:rRNA from 1 species
UACGUAGGGGGCAAGCGUUGUCCGGAUUUAUUGGGCGUAAAGAGCGUGUAGGCGGUUUGGUAGGUCCGCUGUGAAAACUCGAGGCUCAACCUCGAGACGCCGGUGGAAACCAUCAGACUAGAGUCCGGAAGAGGAGAGUGGAAUUCCCGGUGUAGCGGUGAAAUGCGCAGAUAUCGGGAGGAACACCGGUGGCGAAGGCGGUUCUCUGGGCCUUACCUGACGCUGAGGAGCGAAAGCGUGGGGAGCGAACAGG